rnacentral:rRNA from 1 species
GACGAACGCUGGCGGCGUGCUUAACACAUGCAAGUCGAGCGGUAAGGCCCUUUCGGGGGUACACGAGCGGCGAACGGGUGAGUAACACGUGGGUGACCUGCCCUCAGCUCUGGGAUAAGCCUGGGAAACCGGGUCUAAUACUGGAUAUGACUCCAUGACGCAUGUUGUGGGGUGGAAAGCCUUGUGCGGCUGAGGAUGGGCCCGCGGCCUAUCAGCUUGUUGGUGGGGUGANGGCCUACCAAGGCGACGACGGGUAGCCGGCCUGAGAGGGCGACCGGCCACACUGGGGACUGGA